rnacentral:tRNA from 2 species
GGAGGAAUGGCUGAGUGGCUGAAGGCACUGGUUUGCUAAAUCAGCGUACAUUUUUAAAUUGUAUCAUGGGUUCGAAUCCCGUUUCCUCCG